rnacentral:lncRNA from 1 species
GAGGCAAGUGUCUUGGAGAGCGAAGCUGGCAUCUUCAGGGGAUGCCAGGCUUAAAAAGGUGGAGAAAAGGGUGGCUUGGAUCAUCCUCUUCUAGGUUGAUGGCCAUUCUGCAAUGAUGUUAUGACCCAUCCAGCCUCCUGCUAAGCCAGAUCCACUGAGACAGUUCCCAGAAAGCAGUCCGAGGUGACAUGCGUGUGGAGCAUGACCUCAGUAGUUUAUCAGUCAGGAAUGUUAAGACAUGACAGAAGGCAAAUGACCAAGACUGGAUGGGAGGAGCUUUGUGCCUUUGCUAACCCAGAGUCCUGGUCUCAACAGGGCAUAGGCUUGUAAACCAGGAGGACCAAAACCAAGUCGCCUCGAGAAGUGAAUACUCUUGGUUUUAUUGCCAUCCAACAGAUGAGAAAACUCAGGCCUGCCACAAUGAACUGCUGUGUCCUAAUCACAGGACCAGUGAAGUGAGAGCUGAGACGUCAUCCUGGGUGACUGGGGAACCAUUUAAAGCUCACCAGGGUCUUAUUUGCCUCAGGUACUGCAUACCUGGAAGCCAAAGUCAAACAUAAUGCUGCCUUCUCUUCUGCUUCCUUUGCAUGGCCCAAAGAUGAUCUCAGGGUCUCCUUAACUCUUGCAAACAGGGUAGGCACUAUAGGAUGGGUGGAAGACCAGAGGAUAAAGGUACUUAUUGUGGCUUUCAUUGCAAGUCAUUGGACUCUGUGCUGGGCUUUCUUGUGGAUUUGUCAUAUGUCAAGAGCACCACUGAACCCAUUUCACAGAAGAAACUGAGAAGGGCUACUUGUCCUGUGGUCUAAUCGCUGAAAGCUGAAACAGGGAAGUCUGAGCUAGAGGAGACAGCCCACAGACCUGCACCAGAUGCCAAUGUAUGCCACUGAAGCACUAGCACAGAACUGGAGGACCAGAGAUGGACAGUGGUUUUACAGAGAUGCCACCAUACCAUUCUCUGUACAGUGCUAGUUACUCCAAAAGAUGGCUAAUAAAAGUGUUCCUGCACGGCUCUUGUUAAGGGCCCUCUUUGGCUGGUAAGAAUCUC